rnacentral:rRNA from 1 species
GAGCAUGUGGCUUAAUUCGAAGCAACGCGAAGAACCUUACCAGGGCUUGACAUUCAGGUGAAGCGGCGGAAACGUCGUGGCCGAGAGGAGCCUGAACAGGUGGUGCAUGGCUGUCGUCAGCUCGUGUCGUGAGAUGUUGGGUUAAGUCCCGCAACGAGCGCAACCCUCGUCGCAUGUUGCCAGCGGUUCGGCCGGGCACCCAUGCGAGACCGCCGGCGUUAAGCCGGAGGAAGGUGGGGACGACGUCAAGUCAUCAUGCCCCUUAUGUCCUGGGCUGCACACGUGCUACAAUGGUCGGCACAAUGGGCUGCCAGCCCGCGAGGGCGAGCGAAUCCCUAAAGCCGGCCCCAGUUCGGAUUGGAGGCUGCAACCCGCCUCCAUGAAGUCGGAGUUGCUAGUAAUCGCGGAUCAGCACGCCGCGGUGAAUGCGUUCCCGGGCCUUGUACACACCGCCCGUCACACCACCCGAGUCGAUUGCACCCGAAGUCGCCGGCCCAACCCGCAAGGGAGGGAGGCGCCGAAGGUGUGGUUGGUAAGGGGGGUGAAGUCGUAACAAGGUAGCCGUACGAGAACGUGCGGCUGGAUCACC